UAACUUACCUGGCAGGGGAGAUAACCAUGAUCAGGUGGCUUUUCCAGGCAGAGACUUGUCCAUUGCAUUCCAGAUGUACUAACACCUGGUAGGAGAUGCCUCAGUACGUAAAGUCCUUGUAUGUGUUACAAGUAUAAGGA
rnacentral:snRNA from 1 species